rfam:Bombyx mori DNA, contig: Bm_scaf28_contig18068, strain: p50T/Dazao, build 2, whole genome shotgun sequence.
GUUAGCUAAUAUUUGUAGCGAAUAGGAUCGUUUGCCUACGUUUGCCGCUAGGGGCGCUGUUCCAACUGCAUACAAAAUUGGGUUA